UUUUUUCCCCCCCUUUUUUGCUGAUUAGAAAACCACGUCUGGCAUCACUUCCAUCUUUACAUAUACUUUGACUUUUCUAUGUAAACGGUUGUGCCGUCAUGCCAGAUUUCUGUGGUCAAAGUGAAGUUGCAGAUGAAGUUACAACCCACAACCGUUAACAAUUUGCACAACGCUUUUUCCCCCCUCAUGAUAUACACAGUAGGAAGGAAAGGUUUCACUUUUACUGUGAGAAGGUAAGGUAUAUGUGGGAUUUCAUGGUGAAGUACUGACACUGAAGCCUUAAAGCGGUUAGGCUUUGUAGAAUAGCACAUAAAGUACAUACAGAAAGUAUUACAUACAGUAUUCACACUGCUCGAGUUUCUUACUUUUGUUACUUUACAGUCUUAGUGUAAAAAGGCUUGGUAUAAGCAGAAGCACCCUUUGAAAUUUUACAUCGCCUAAGUGGAAAGAAAUGACAUAAAUAUAAAAGAAAUCUUCUACUGCUAGUUUUUGAUGGACUGUUACAGUUUAUAAUGGUAAAUAAUUAUACGUAAUUGUGAGGGAAGUACUGAUGUUUGACAUUACCUCUGAGCAUGUUAAUGUGUCUUUUGCUUUUCUUCUCCAGGAAAAAAAAAAAAGAGAAAAAUGAAUAAAAUGACACAAAGACGUUGAAAAUUUGCAAAGUUGCAGAUUAGUAGAACAUUCCACAUUAAAAGAAAUGCUUAAGGGGAAAAAAAAAAACCCACAUUCUUCCUGUUGUUCUGAGGCUUUUCAGCAGGGGCGGGUACGUGACACUUCUCAACCACUUCUCAGCAAGACAGCAAAUUCAUCAUACUUCAAAUAGGACAGCAAAUUCACAGGACGACCUUUUUAUUUUUAUACUUCUUCAAGGAAUUACCCUACAAUGAUGUUUAAAUUAAUUUUUAAGACUUUCAAAUUAGUAUUCCUAGCUCCACACGGGGAAAAAACAGAAAUCUUCAGGUUUUUCCGAAAAAGGUUAAGAUUUUAACAAGCUUCAGCAGUUGAUCAGGAAUUAACUCAGGAAUUAACUCAGGAGCUCAGGAAUUAACUUAAAUUCAUGAGAAUCUGCUGUGGCAAGAAACUGGAAGCCAGGAUGAUUUCCGUGAGCUGGGUUGUCUACUUUCACACCACCAACCUUUGUGCUCUACUUCAGCUGAAAAGGAACAGCUUCCUGUUCAGUGUGUAGACGACCCAAUGGAGUUAAAUGCUGUGAUCAUUUAUGGAGAUCAGGAAUUCCCUAUGCCAAGGCUGCUGCAAGCAGAAGAUAAACGUGAAGGCAAUGAUGGAGAAGACACCUCCAUUUAACAGAAUGCAAACUGUUACAACACAACACUGCUACAGCAUGUAAUAAAGCACAUCAGCUCUUAAUCAUA